UUUUAAAUCCAAUUCCAUAAGUGGAUAUGAAAGACAUCGCAACAGUACAAAAAGACAAGGAAGAGAAAGAGCGAUAAUAAACUUACUGAUAGCGCUACCGAUGUCGAGCCAACUGCCGUACGGCGUGACACAAUGCAUUAAAGUGAAUAGCUCGCGCAUCCGACUAGUAUCAAGGGAAUGCUAAGUUUGAAAAGUAUUAAAGAUGUCAUUAAAAAUGAAGAAAAAACAGUAACAAAGUGACGCGUCCAAGAUGGAUCAAACGAACUGAUGCUCGCCAUAUUACCUGUGCCGAAGAAACACAAUAGUAUGUACAACAUCAAUGAUAAGAUGUUAAGGAUAUGUAUAAAUGAUAAUAGAUGUGCCUCAUAUGAAUUAAAAGAAUAUCGUUAAAAAAUUAAAGAUAACAGGUAAAUUUUAGUUUGUUUUCCUAGAAAGAGUCUAAAUAAUAUACAAGAUUCCUUAGUUACAAUAUUAAUUUAAUAAUCUAUAUUUUUCUCAUUUGUCUAAUUAAUUAAAAAUAUCUGAUAUAAAUAUCACCAACUCUUCAUGGAAAUUCUUGUGUAACAAUAAAAAAAUCUUUUUAAAAGGAUA